rnacentral:rRNA from 1 species
GACGAACGCUGGCGGCGUGCUUAACACAUGCAAGUCGAACGGAAAGGCCCUGCUUUUGUGGGGUGCUCGAGUGGCGAACGCGUGAGUAACACGUGAGUAACCUGCCCUUGACUUUGGGAUAACUUCAGGAAACUGGGGCUAAUACCGGAUAGGAGCUCCUGCUGCAUGGUGGGGGUUGGAAAGUUUCGGCGGUUGGGGAUGGACUCGCGGCUUAUCAGCUUGUUGGUGGGGUAGUGGCUUACCAAGGCUUUGACGGGUAGCCGGCCUGAGAGGGUGACCGGCCACAUUGGGACUGAGAUACGGCCCAGACUCCUACGGGAGGCAGCAGUGGGGAAUAUUGCACAAUGGGCGGAAGCCUGAUGCAGCAACGCCGCGUGCGGGAUGACGGCCUUCGGGUUGUAAACCGCUUUCGCCUGUGACGAAGCGUGAGUGACGGUAAUGGGUAAAGAAGCACCGGCUAACUACGUGCCAGCAGCCGCGGUGAUACGUAGGGUGCGAGCGUUGUCCGGAUUUAUUGGGCGUAAAGGGCUCGUAGGUGGUUGAUCGCGUCGGAAGUGUAAUCUUGGGGCUUAACCCUGAGCGUGCUUUCGAUACGGGUUGACUUGAGGAAGGUAGGGGAGAAUGGAAUUCCUGGUGGAGCGGUGGAAUGCGCAGAUAUCAGGAGGAACACCAGUGGCGAAGGCGGUUCUCUGGGCCUUUCCUGACGCUGAGGAGCGAAAGCGUGGGGAGCGAACAGGCUUAGAUACCCUGGUAGUCCACGCUGUAAACGGUGGGUACUAGGUGUGGGGUCCAUUCCACGGGUUCCGUGCCGUAGCUAACGCUUUAAGUACCCCGCCUGGGGAGUACGGCCGCAAGGCUAAAACUCAAAGGAAUUGACGGGGCCCCGCACAAGCGGCGGAGCAUGCGGAUUAAUUCGAUGCAACGCGUAGAACCUUACCUGGGUUUGACAUGGAUCGGGAGUGCUCAGAGAUGGGUGUGCCUCUUUUGGGGUCGGUUCACAGGUGGUGCAUGGCUGUCGUCAGCUCGGGUCGUGAGAUGUUGGGUUAAGUCCCGCAACGAGCGCAACCCUUGUUCACUGUUGCCAGCACGUUAUGGUGGGGACUCAGUGGAGACCGCCGGGGUCAACUCGGAGGAAGGUGGGGAUGACGUCAAGUCAUCAUGCCCCUUAUGUCCAGGGCUUCACGCAUGCUACAAUGGCUGGUACAGAGAGUGGCGAGCCUGUGAGGGUGAGCGAAUCUCGGAAAGCCGGUCUCAGUUCGGAUUGGGGUCUGCAACUCGACCUCAUGAAGUCGGAGUCGCUAGUAAUCGCAGAUCAGCAACGCUGCGGUGAAUACGUUCCCGGGGCU